rnacentral:misc_RNA from 1 species
GUGAAUCAUCGAAUUUUUGAACGCAUAUUGCACUCUCUGGUAUUCCGGAGAGUAUGCCUGUUUGAGGGUAAUUAAAAAGAAUCUUUACCAAUUUUUUUUGGUCAAAGGAAAUGAGUUCUCCGCGUUUAUAGCGGUAGCUUGAAAUAAUGGUCAAGUCUCAAUUUAAUCGAAGCGCGUUAUAAUAAUAUUUU